GGUCCCUACGGGGCGCAGCAGUGGGGGAUAUUGGACAAUGGGGGAAACCCUGAUCCAGCGAUGCCGCGUGAGGGAAGAAGGUUUUCGGAUUGUAAACCUCUGUGGAGGGGGACGAUAAUGACGGUACCCCUUUAGGAAGCCACGGCUAACUACGUGCCAGCAGCCGCGGUAAUACGUAGGUGGCGAGCGUUGUCCGGAAUUACUGGGUGUAAAGGGAGUGUAGGCGGGAAAGCAAGUCAGAAGUGAAAACUAUGGGCUUAACCCAUAGCCUGCUUUUGAAAAUGUUUUUUGUGAGUGAAUGAGAG
rnacentral:rRNA from 1 species